GAUGAACGCUGGCGGCGUGCCUAAUACAUGCAAGUCGAGCGAACGGACGAGAAGCUUGCUUCUCUGAUGUUAGCGGCGGACGGGUGAGUAACACGUGGAUAACCUACCUAUAAGACUGGGAUAACUUCGGGAAACCGGAGCUAAUACCGGAUGAUAUUUUGAACCGCAUGGUUCAAAAGUGAAAGACGGUCUUGCUGUCACUUAUAGAUGGAUCCGCGCUGCAUUAGCUAGUUGGUAAGGUAACGGCUUACCAAGGCAACGAUGCAUAGCCGACCUGAGAGGGUGAUGGGCCACAAUGGAACUGCGGCACGGUCCAGAAUCCUACGGGAGGCAGCAGUAGGGAAUCUUACGCAAUGGGCGAAAGACUGACGGAGCAACGCCGCGUGAGUGAUGAAGGUCUUCGGAUCGUAAAACUCUGUUAUUAGGGAAGAACAUAUGUGUAAGUAACUGUGCACAUCUUGACGGUACCUAAUCAGAAAGCCACGGCUAACUACGUG
rnacentral:rRNA from 1 species